GAUAGGUUAAGUUAAUAAGGGCGCAUGGUGGAUGCCUUGGCACUAGAAGGCGAUGAAGGACGUGACUAACUACGAUAUGCCUCGGUUAGCUGUAAGUAAGCUUACCCGGGGGUUUCCGAAUGGGGCAACCCGAUCUUAAUGAUCAUCAUCUUUUUGAAUUCAUAGAUUAGAUGAAGCAAACGCUGUGAACUGAAACAUCUAAGUAGCAGUAGGAAAGUAAAGAAAUUUCGAUUCCGUCAGUAGCGGCGAGCGAACGCGGAAGAGCCCAAACCUGGAUGCUUGCAUCCAGGGGUUGUAGGACUGAUGUUGAGUUACAAAGGUAUAAGAUAGCAGAAACAGUUGGGAAGCUGUUCCAAAGAGGGUGACAGGCCCGUAUGCGAAAUCUUGUACUCUCUAAUCAGGAUCCUGAGUACGGCCCAGCACGUGAAAUUGGGUCGGAAUCUGGGAGGACCAUCUCCCAAGGCUAAAUACUAACUAGUGACCGAUAGCGAACAAGUACCGUGAGGGAAAGGUGAAAAGAACCCCGGAAGGGGAGUGAAAUAGUUCUUGAAACCGUGUGCUUACAAGAAGUUCGAGGCCGUUAAUGGCUGAGAGCGUGCUUUUUGUAGAAUGAACCGGAGAGUUACGAUUGCGUGCAAGGUUAAGGUGCAAAGACUGGAGCCGUAGCGAAAGCGAGUCUUAAUAGGGCGAAUCAGUACGUAGUUGUAGACCCGAAACCGAGUGACCUAUCCAUGGUCAGGUUGAAGGUGGGGUAAUACCUACUGGAGGACCGAACAAGUGGGUGU
rnacentral:rRNA from 1 species